rnacentral:rRNA from 1 species
AUUGAACGCUGGCGGCAGGCCUAACACAUGCAAGUCGAACGGUAACAGGAAGCAGCUUGCUGCUUUGCUGACGAGUGGCGGACGGGUGAGUAAUGUCUGGGAAACUGCCUGAUGGAGGGGGAUAACUACUGGAAACGGUAGCUAAUACCGCAUAACGUCGCAAGACCAAAGAGGGGGACCUUCGGGCCUCUUGCCAUCGGAUGUGCCCAGAUGGGAUUAGCUAGUAGGUGGGGUAACGGCUCACCUAGGCGACGAUCCCUAGCUGGUCUGAGAGGAUGACCAGCCACACUGGAACUGAGACACGGUCCAGACUCCUACGGGAGGCAGCAGUGGGGAAUAUUGCACAAUGGGCGCAAGCCUGAUGCAGCCAUGCCGCGUGUAUGAAGAAGGCCUUUCGGGUUGUAAAGUACUUUUCAGCGGGGAGGAAGGCGAUAAGGUUAAUAACCUUGUUCGAUUGACGUUACCCCGCAGAAGACACCCGCUA